rnacentral:rRNA from 1 species
UACGUAGGGGGCAAGCGUUGUCCGGAAUCAUUGGGCGUAAAGAGCGUGUAGGCGGCUCGAUAAGUCCGCUCUGAAAGCCCGGGGCUCAACCCCGGGAGGCGGGCGGAUACUGUCGGGCUAGAGUCCGGAAGAGGCGAGUGGAAUUCCUGGUGUAGCGGUGAAAUGCGCGGAUAUCAGGAGGAACACCAAUGGCGAAGGCAGCUCGCUGGGACGGUACUGACGCUGAGACGCGAAAGCGUGGGGAGCAAACAGG